UACGUAGGGUGCGAGCGUUGUCCGGAAUUAUUGGGCGUAAAGAGCGUGUAGGCGGCCAGGUAGGUCUGCUGUGAAAACUCGAGGCUCAACCUCGAGACGUCGGCGGAAACCAUCUGGCUAGAGUCCGGAAGAGGAGAGUGGAAUUCCUGGUGUAGCGGUGAAAUGCGCAGAUAUCAGGAAGAACACCCGUGGCGAAGGCGGCUCUCUGGGACGGUACUGACGCUGAGACGCGAAAGCGUGGGUAGCAAACAGG
rnacentral:rRNA from 1 species